rnacentral:rRNA from 1 species
AACGCACCUUGCGCUCCUUGGUAUUCCGAGGAGCAUGCCUGUUUGAGUGUCAUUAAAUUCUCAACCUUACCAGUUUUCACGAAUUGGUAAUGGCUUGGACUUGGGGGUUUUUUGCUGGCUUCGUCAAGAGGUCUGCUCCCCUUAAAUGUAUUAGCCGGUACCCUUGUGGAGUCGUCUAUUGGUGUGAUAAUUAUCUACGCCGUGGUGGUACGCCACGAUUGUGGGGGACCUGCUUCCAACCGUCGAAAGACAAACUUUAUCGAAACUUGACCUCAAAUCAGGCGGGACUACCCGCUGAACUUAA